AUCCAGCUGACGAGUCCCAAAUACGACAAAAUGUGCAUCCUGGAU
rnacentral:hammerhead_ribozyme from 1 species